CCUGACGUGGGCCGCGGGACGCGGCCGUCUGCGUGACUGGUCGAACGGCGGGGGCGUCGUUCGACAUGCGGCGGGAUCGCUACCCGGCGUCGAGC
rnacentral:tRNA from 1 species